CUGGUCCGCACCUAAGUCUAUGUACAUGUACCACUACCGGUAAUUGAAAAGCAGAACGUUAAUGCAAGGCAAUGUACCAAUGAUUUCAGUUUAUGCAUAUGGAACGACACAGUACACUUGCUAUGAUACAUAUGAUACCAAAAAGGAUAAUUUUUUGAUAAAACUGUCCUUCCAUGUGCAGAAAUUGGAGACAGUGGAGGAACUACUCGACCUUGACGAGUUGAUAAAAACUCAACCAAGCAAGAAAGAUUUGCUGACAGCCAGGCUCUCAAAGAUUGGUGGAUAUGACUUAAAGAGCUGUUUAAGCACCAGCAUGGACAGGCUCAUGACAAAUGAAUUAAUGUCCAAUCUGAACAUGAAGGGGAGAGGGGGAAAAAAAUAGCUUUGCCGAGACGAAGCUGCUCGAUUUAGUCACAGCUAGUGUCUUGGACACCCAGAAGGGGACUGAAACGAUGGUCCAUGAUGCCAUAAAAAAUAAACUGAAAUAUGCCCCUGGACGGAAGGGAGGAAUAGGAUGGGCAUCACAGGCUAAAUAAAUAAUUAUAUCGAUUGACAUUCUCCAUUUUCUUUGAACUUAAUUUUAAUUUUGCAUUAACAGGAUUCAGCCUGGAGCUAUAUAUGCACUAUGUUUUGUUGUCUUUAAUUAUAUUUAUAUAUUGGUUGAUAUUACGUUGAUAAUUGGUUGGUUGAUCUUAGGUUGAAACUGAAAGUUGAAUCAACGUUGAAACAUUGACGUAGAUUCUACGUCGGUAUUUAAACGUUGAUCCAACUUUCAUUUUCAACCCAAAUCCAACGUUAUUUCAA